rnacentral:tmRNA from 1 species
GGGGACGUUUAUGGAUUCGACGGGGGUAGUUUGGGCAUAGGUAGCGAGUAGUGGGGACGCGUCCGCUUUAUCAACGCUAAAGCCUAUUAAACGGCAAAACUCAAAACAACUACGCUUUAGCAGCCUAAGAACUGUCGGCGUGCUUCUCCUCAGCAUCGUCCAUGUGACUGAGACAGGGGCUCAACAGUAGUGGAAUACGCUAACCCAUCUCCGCCUGCGGUGGGCUGAAGAAGACAAUCAGGCUGACCCAAAGAGUAGUCGGUUACAGGACGACACUAGGGUGACAUCAAAUCUGUAACUACACUCGUAGAAGCAUAUGUUGCGAUACCUUCGGACAGGGGUUCGACUCCCCUCGUCUCCACCA